AACAAUGAAAGACAAGGACGUAGAGCCAGGAAGAUCUCUUUCUCUCUCCCCUCUCUGCCUCCCCUCCUUCUCUGCCUCCCCCGCCCCCUCUCAUUCCCUCCCUCCCGCUCUCUCCUAUUUCACUCUCUGGCCGCAGGUCUCUUCUGUCCCCACUUUCCUGAAAGCCAGUUCCACUGGACCCCUUCCACCCUUGCAAACAGCGAAUCUGCUUCAGUGGUUGUCUUGUGCGGGAAGUGACAGAACCCCAACUCUGCAGGGGGAGGGGGUUCUCACUAAACCCAGCUGGGCCAAUGCUCGGCGCACACCGGUGCCUCGCUGACUCUCCCAGAGGGAACCAGCCAGGCAGGCUCAGUAAAGACCUUCACCCGGGAGGCUGUCCUUCCCGGCUAGGGCUGUGUUAAUGUCUAAUAACUGGGAGCUGCGGCUCUCAGUAAUGUUGGCAAUGAAGUCAGGUGCGCGUGCGAGUUGGACGUGAGCUGCCGUCCAUCCACGUGAACUUCUUCCUGAGAAAGCAAGACUUUCGAACUCUCCCUUAGUCCACAGGCUUCACCUACAGCGACCGCAGCCAGAGCCGCUCUAAGGACAACAGAAGGUGCUGGAGACACGUGAAUGAGUCACCAAGGAGCAAAGCUUCCUCACUGAGUCCCAGAGAAUACGGUAUGUGAAGUCAGUUUUUGGAUGUUGAAGUGGCAAGAACAGUUUCUGGAUUCCAAGUGGAUGCAGCCUGUGCCAUCAUCUGAGACAACGACAGGGGACGGAAAUUAGAAUCCGGAGCAGAAGGGAAACGUGGAUUUGAGGUAAGUCGGCUGCCCACUGUUUGGGGGUGUGGCAGGUGUCAUCAUGGGGACUCUGUCCUCGGAGAGCGCGUGACGCCGCACCAGGACAUUGCUGCUCUUCAAGUGUUGCUAUUUUCAUUUCCUCCGCCGCUCUACUUUGAGUUGAACAAGGUGUUAGGCUUUUCUGUUUCUCUGAUAUUAAUAAUGUACUGGAAGUGUGAUAAUAAAAAUCAUUUAACUAAAAACCGUUUAGCUCCUGAGUGUCCCCGAAAGGCUUAUUAUCCGCGAGGUCUGACUGUAAGUGAGGAACCGGGUCAGCUCCACAGGCAGGCCUUGCUUUCUGUUCAGCGUGUAUUCCUUUAUUCCUGUGGUAGAAGGGUACCCUGGCCACCCCGAGCCACCCCGCCCCCUCCAGUGUGUGCUUGGAAAUGAGGAAGAACAGAUUCUUCAGGGCUCCAAUGUGUGUGGUGAAGGAGACACAACUCUUGUCAGGUUGACAGGAGUCAGAUCAAGAUGGGGUAUCUCUGUUGUCUGUCUCAUGGAGAAAGAUGAGCUUGGUGAGCCCCCGAUUAUCCUCUAUGCUGAAGCCAGAAGCUGGACAGGAGGAAUGGGUAAGAUUAAAACUUUAUUUCACACCUUUCUGGCAGAUGAAAUAUUCAGCAUAAAGUUUGUUGGAAGAGAUACUCAAAACA